UAUCUCCCCGACGUUGAGGUAUAGUGUAUCAAGAUACCAAUUCCUAUACCUCUGAAGAUGCAGAAGGAUGGAAUGUGGCUGCUUGAAGGAGAGCAACACCAAGAUCCCUCAUGACCAGACAAAUUUGGCCUUAUUAAAUUCUUUGCUUUAUUCCCGUUACACGACAAUGAGCAAAGAGGGGCAGCUGUAAUAACCCAAAUUUUCCCGGCCCACAUACAUUUCAAAAAAACAAACAAAUAAAAAAUAUAAUAAAUAAAAAUAAAUCCAAAUAAAAAAUAAUAUUAAAGGUCCAAUAAAAACAGUCCAUAAAGUCUGGCUACAAUUUUGUUUAACCCAAUUACAAUAAUGGCUUAAACCCAUUACCCAAACCCAAAAUACAUUGCAUAAACCCGAACAAAUACCCAAAUAAUACAAUCCAAU
rnacentral:lncRNA from 1 species